UACGGGGGGGGCAAGCGUUGUUCGGAAUUACUGGGCGUAAAGGGUGCGUAGGUGGCCAGGUAAGUUCGGUGUGAAAGCUCGGAGCUUAACUCCGAAAUGGCAUUGAAUACUAUCUGGCUAGAGGGUCGGAGGGGAGACUGGAAUUCUCGGUGUAGCAGUGAAAUGCGUAGAUAUCGAGAGGAACACCAGUGGCGAAGGCGAGUCUCUGGACGACUCCUGACACUGAGGCACGAAAGCCAGGGGAGCAAACAGG
rnacentral:rRNA from 1 species